rnacentral:rRNA from 1 species
UCCGAGUUGUAAUUUGCAGAGGGCGCUUUGGCAUUGGCAGCGGUCCAAGUUCCUUGGAACAGGUCGUCACAGAGGGUGAGAAUCCCGUACGUGGUCGCUAGCCUUUACCGUGUAAAGCCCCUUCGACGAGUCGAGUUGUUUGGGAAUGCAGCUCUAAAUGGGAGGUAAAUUUCUUCUAAAGCUAAAUACUGGCCAGAGACCGAUAGCGCACAAGUAGAGUGAUCGAAAGAUGAAAAGCACUUUGGAAAGAGAGUUAAAAAGCACGUGAAAUUGUUGAAAGGGAAGCGCUUGCAGCCAGACUUGCCUGUAGUUGCUCAUCCGGGUUUCUACCCGGUGCACUCUUCUAUAGGCAGGCCAGCAUCAGUUUGGGCGGUUGGAUAAAGGUCUCUGUCAUGUACCUCCUUUCGGGGAGAACUUAUAGGGGAGACGACAUGCAACCAGCCUGGACUGAGGUCCGCGCAUCUGCUAGGAUGCUGGUGUAAUGGCUGUAAGCGGCCCGUCUUGAAACACGGACCAAGGAGUCUAACAUCUAUGCGAGUGUUUGGGUGUCAAGCCCGAACGCGUAAUGAAAGUGAACGGAGGUGGGAACCUUUCGGGGUGCACCAUCGACCGAUCCUGAUGUCUUCGGAUGGAUUUGAGUAAGAGCA